AUUGAACGCUGGCGGCAGGCUUAACACAUGCAAGUCGAGCGAGCGGCGGACAGGUGAGUAAUGUCUGGGAAACUGCCUGAUGGAGGGGGAUAACUACUGGAAACGGUAGCUAAUACCGCAUACCAUCAGAUGUGCCCAGAUGGGAUUAGCUAGUAGGUGGGGUAAUGGCUCACCGAGGCGACGAUCCCUAGCUGUUCUGAGAGGAUGACCAGGGAAACGUGAACUGAGACACGGUCACGGCUACUACGGGAGGGAGCAGUGGGGAAGGUUGCACAACGGGGGAAAGCCUGCUGAAGCCCUGCCGGGUGUGUGAGGAGGUCAAUCGUGUUGUAAAACACUUUCGGCGAGUAGGGGUUCCUUGUAGAAGAAGCCCCGGCUAACUCCGUGCCAGCAGCCGCGGUAAUUC
rnacentral:rRNA from 1 species